AGGCUCCGCGGUGUUACACGUGAGGUUGCAAACCUCAAGAAGCAGAAUAGUAUUUUGCCGGGGCU
rnacentral:tRNA from 1 species